GAUUUACUCCCUCCGUUCCAAAAUAGAUGACCCAACUUUGCACUAACUUUUUACAAAGUUAAUGCAAAGUUGGGUCAUCUAUUUUGGAACGGAGGGAGUACAAU
rnacentral:pre_miRNA from 1 species